rnacentral:rRNA from 1 species
GACGAAGGGGGCUAGCGUUGUUCGGAAUUACUGGGCGUAACGCGAGUGUAGGUGGUUGUCCAAGUUGGAUGUGAAAGCCUUGAGCUCAACUCAAGAAAUGCAUUCAGGACUGGGCGGCUAGAGGACCGGAGAGGAUAGUGGAAUUCCCAGUGUAGUGGUGAAAUACGUAGAGAUUGGGAAGAACACCAGUGGCGAAGGCGGCUAUCUGGACGGUUUCUGACACUAAGACUCGAAAGCGUGGGGAGCAAACAGG